UACGUAGGGGGCAAGCGUUGUCCGGAAUCAUUGGGCGUAAAGAGCGUGUAGGCGGCCAGAUAAGUCCGCUGUGAAAUCUCGAGGCUCAACUUCGAGCUGUCGGUGGAAACUGUCUGGCUAGAGUCCGGAAGAGGAGAAUGGAAUUCCUGGUGUAGCGGUGGAAUGCGCAGAUAUCAGGAGGAACACCAAUAGCGAAGGCAGCUCGCUGGGACGGUACUGACGCUCAGGCGCGAAAGCGUGGGGAGCAAACAGG
rnacentral:rRNA from 1 species